rnacentral:lncRNA from 1 species
CUCACCCACUCUACAAAGCAAGCAUCCAUCCCUUUGCAGUAGGACUCAGCCAGGCAAAGUGCUCUUCCAGAAGCAGGCUGGGGAGUUGGGGAAGCAAAGGUAUGAGGAAGAGAGAAGAGCCCAGAAAGCUGCAUUCCCACUCCUGCUCUGCCAUUCACAGGAUGCAAGAGCUUGGACAAGCCCAUACCGUCCCUGGACCUCCACCUCAGCACCAGUUUCUAAGACAAUAGUGUCCUAGCUUUCGUCUGUCACUACAGUAACCAAUGGGAGUUCACAACCCUGAGUCAUACUUGCAACAUAACCUGAUUAUCACCAGAUAAUCUGCCUGAGCAUGGGCCCUGGAAAGCAACAGAGCAGGUCACAGCCAUCUGUAACUUGUGAUAUCUUCCAUUGGUCUCCUCACUCUUCCGCUUUUCCCUCUUAAAGCACAUUCUCCACCACUCAUGGCCAAUAGCCUUUGAAUAAGGUUCUACUCUAGUUCAUAUGUGGAUCACAGAACCCACACUCUAACCCAAUCUGGCCAUCCCACUCCCCCUUGACACCAUGAUAGUUUCAGGGAGGGACAUGGACCCCAGAAGAGCCAAUGAGAGAAAACUACAUUUUGCUGGGAAUGCUGGCAUCAACGUAUAAGCGCUUCCCUUCUGGGCAUAAAGCUGAGAAGACGGUAGGUCUUGAGUUUCUGCUCUCAUCUUGGUGCCUGAAUGCAAACUUAAGCAGAAGAAAAUGGAGCCAAGGGACAGAGAGAAUAAAUUGGUCCCCAAUGGCAUUAUUUGAAUUCUAGUAUCAAACCAUCCCUGAAGCCAUCCGUCCCUGUGCCUGGGUUUUAAAUGAACUGAACUAUUCGAUUUUCUUUUUCAGCUACUUAUGAUGAGUUUCCCAUCACUCACAACUGAAAGACUCCUGCAUGACACAUGGUCCCACCCAAGAAGGUCAUUGUGGGAGUUCCCUUCAUGGCUCAGAGGUUAAGGAAUCCGACUAGGAUCCAUGAGGAUGCAGGUUUGAUCCCUGGCCUCGCUCAGUAGGUUAAGGAUCUGGCAUUGCUGUGAGCUGUGGUGUAGACUGGCAGCUGCAACUCCAAUUCAACCCUAAGCCUGGGAACUUCCAUAUGCCGCAGGUGUGGCCCUAAAAAGAAAAAGAUGAAGAAAAGGUCAUCGGGCCUCUCUUUGAUUACCUUCAGUGAUGGGGACCACUUUACCUCUUCCUGUUUCUUCCAAGCCUAUCUUUCGCUUGCCUCUCCAAGCUACUCCAAGGGAGCCAUCAAGGGGCACUUGAGAGAAGAGGGGGGAUAUGACAGACGUGAGGAGCGAGACUAUCCACAGCUGCAGGGCUGGCUGACAUUUAUGGGAAGUGUUAAAUCACUGGGGUCUUCCAGGUUGUUUAAUAUCAUCUAUUGAUUUGCUUUUGUUUCCCUGAAGGGAAGAAGGAUUUGACUAACAGCCAAUGUUCCCAUGAGAGCAAGUGCCAGAAGGGUUUUACUGAACACAGAAGAAUGGAAAGCCAGAAGAGAAAAGAAAAAGGGAAGAAUGAUGGUUUGUAAAAUUGGAAAAUAAUAUGUCCUUCACUGGGGCUGACACGGCCCUGGACAAACAGGUGAAAAAGGUGCAAUUUAUCUUGGGCAUCUUACACUUCCUCUAAUUACAUCCCUGACCUCUUUCCUACUUCACUGCUCCUCUCCUCAAGGGGGCAUCAUCUUGAUGCACCAGGAAAACAAAGAUUAUUAGAGUCUUCUGUAAGUAUGUUUCACACAUUCAGCACUAGGUCCAUUCACAGGCUCUCUCAUCUACCUAAUAAGUAUUUGUUAGUUGUCUAUUAUAUGCCAGGAUAAUCUUUUUUUAUUGUGGUUGUUCAUAAUAGAACACAAUUAGAAUUCAUAAUUAAAUGGUCCAUUCGGAUCGUUAACCCACUGAGCAAGGCCAGGGAUUGAACCCGCAACCUCAUGGUUCCUAGUCGGAUUCGUUAACCACUGCGCCACGACAGGAACUCCCCCUUUCUCUUUCUGUGAGCAUCUGACCCUCACAUGGUCCCCACAUAGUGAGCACAAUGGAGACGGUUCUGCUGGACACAGAAAGGGAAGGAGGACGUCUGCUGUAACUCCACCCCUAGCCAGGGCCCAGCAGUUCACAAAGGAAUUACGUGAACAUCCUUUCAUGGAGUAAGGAACAGAAACUCGAAGAGGAGACAUUCCAGUACAAGGGACCGUCACAGAGAUUGGAACCCAGGGUGCUUAACUCUUCCUUAACCCAGUACCCCUCCCCCACACCCCAUUCCAUGCUGCCAGAACUCUGUCCACCACAGCCUCUUUGGCUGCAUCUUCACAAAGCCUGAGAAGUAUUGGCUGCCAAGCCCAGUCUCCAGCCUUCUCUCUUUCCUCCACCCCAGUUAUAGGGGAAGUAGCACACCAUGCAGAAGGCAUGCACAGUAGUUUCUGCCAAACUUACACCCCACAAACACCACACCAAAGAGGGAAAUGAGAGGAGCUAAUAAUGGCAACAUCCUUCAGGAUCCAGUGCCUGGAUUCCCUUGACCCACUCAGAUCUAAUUUUCUGAAUGCAACCAAUGUCAUCAUCAUCUUCAUCACCACCAUCACCAGUGAUGUUCAAGGAGAGCUUACUAAGUAUCAAACACUGUCCCAAGCCAUCUCACAUGUAUGACCUCAUCUAAUUCACUGACAAUUUCAGAGGGCUAUGAUAUAAUGAUGAAUAGUGAUAAAUUAUUCUGCAUUUGCCAAUGAGAGAACUUCAUUCGGCUCAAAGAUAGCUGCAAGGUCAUGCAGCUACCACUUGGCAGAGUUCAAGUGCGAAUUUAAGUCUCUUAUCCUCUCUCCUCCCACUAGGGACUGUACUCACCAGUAGCCAAGGUGGGGCUGGCAGGGAGGAGACAUCCCAUUCUGGAAUGCACACAGCUCUUGACUUCUCACCUGCUUCUUGCUUUUCCUCUAUAACAAAUUUGCUGUGUCACUUUGAGCAAGUUAUUUAGUCUUUCUGGGCUUGGGUCUCUACAUCCCUAGAAGUGAGAAGCCGACCUAGAGUUACGUGGCCUUGAAGUGCCCUUCCAGCCCUACCAUCCUGUUAUCAGAUUCCUUUCUUCCUCUGAUCCCCAAAUGCCACAUCUACCUGUUGCGGGGUGAAGAAUACUACUGUAAAAGUGAAAAAUACCUAGGGUUCCCCCUUCUCAUAAAUCGUUAAAUGAGACUGAAGCAUUUUUGGUAAGAAAUCACAUAAUCCUAGAGAGCUUAGAGACUAUUCUAGUUGUAAGUUAACGAUAAAUAGUCUGAUAGCUAUCACUUAGGAGACCCUUUACUAUCUAUUCCAUGUAUUGUUCCAUGGAAUCCUCCAACAACCCUGUAGAUCUGUGCUUGUACCAUUUACAUAGUUUAGAGGAAGAAACUGAGACAUGAAGUGAUUAAGUAAUCUGCUCAUGGUAACCCAGCUAGUUAAGUGGUAAACCUGGAGCAUACUCCAAAGCAUGCCUCAGAAAACUUCUCACCCAAGUGUCCAACUCAGAGCAGACGUUGUCUCUGAAAAUUCCAAUGAACAGGCUCUGCCUGAAGAACUGCAAUAGUGAGUAAUUUCUAAAAUAUGCAACCUUUCAGAAAUGGAGAUUAAACACAAACAAUACCUGUAGCCUUGGUCCCAGUAAAAGAGAGAAGAGAGGUAAGUGUGCCUCUUUCUGAAAUGGUUCAGCAAAAGUAUUAGGAACUCUGCCUUCCUCUCACUGUUAUGUCUGCUUGGAGCCAAAAGAAAAGGCACUAAAAAAAAUGAAAAAUAUUUUUCUAAAAAACAUUUUUAAGCAUACCCAUCAGUCUGUAUAGUGCCAACAUGAUUAGUCUAAUCAAUAAAAGGCAAACCAUUGUCAUUGGAUGACCAUGAACAGGCAUUAGACUGUAUUUCUUGCCUCUAAGCAGGUAUGAUGGUAAUGAUUUCCAUGUCAUUACCCAGAUAGGGGAGGGGCUUAAGGAAGAAUCUUGCCUCAAAGACCUGGCUUCCCGGUCCUCUCCACAACUCUGAAAACCUGUACAUCAUUACGACUGCUGCUUUCUCUCCUCUCACCUGACCAAGUCCUCUUGGGUCCAGAUACUUCCAAUCUCUGCUGUGUAGCCUUCCCAGAGUUUUCCAGCUCCCACUCAUUUAGAUCUUCACUGCACUCUUAUUCUCUUGUAGGAUAGUUUAUCCUUCCACCAAAGACUGUGUGGUUCUAAUUCUUCUCACCAACAUGACUUUGGGCUAGUCACUUUUACCCCCUGAACCUCUGUUCUUCAUCUAUAACAAAGUGACUGGCCCUUUCAGCAACUGUGAAGCUAGGAGAUCCCGGCCAGGAGGACGUGAGAUCUCGUUGUUCUCCCAAUCUUUCGACCGUCCCCCAAAGCCCCUCAAUAAAGUGCAUUGAUCUCACAAAAAAAAAAAAAAAA